CUUGAACGAGCCGAGCCGCAGCGGGCGCUGGGCGGUGUGGUCCUGGCCGUACGUGGCGAGCAGGGCCUGCGCCUC
rfam:Streptomyces roseus strain ATCC 31245 contig_178, whole genome shotgun sequence.